rnacentral:rRNA from 1 species
UACAGAGGGUGCAAACGUUGUUCGGAAUUACUGGGCGUAAAGCGCGUGUAGGCUGCUCGGAAAGUCGGAUGUGAAAGCCCUGGGCUCAACCUAGGAAGUGCAUUCGAAACUUCCGAGCUGGAGUUCUGGAGAGGAAGGCGGAAUUCUCGGUGUAGAGGUGAAAUUCGUAGAUAUCGAGAGGAACACCGGUGGCGAAGGCGGCCUUCUGGACAGUGACUGACGCUGAGACGCGAAAGCGUGGGGAGCAAACAGG